AGAGUUUGAUCCUGGCUCAGGACGAACGCUGGCGGCGUGCUUAACACAUGCAAGUCGAGCGAUGAAGCUUCCUUCGGGAAGUGGAUUAGCGGCGGACGGGUGAGUAACACGUGGGUAACCUGCCUCAAAGUGGGGGAUAGCCUUCCGAAAGGAAGAUUAAUACCGCAUAACAUAAGAGAAUCGCAUGAUUUUCUUAUCAAAGAUUUAUUGCUUUGAGAUGGACCCGCGGCGCAUUAGCUAGUUGGUAAGGUAACGGCUUACCAAGGCAACGAUGCGUAGCCGACCUGAGAGGGUGAUCGGCCACAUUGGAACUGAGACACGGUCCAGACUCCUACGGGAGGCAGCAGUGGGGAAUAUUGCGCAAUGGGGGAAACCCUGACGCAGCAACGCCGCGUGGGUGAUGAAGGUCUUCGGAUUGUAAAGCCCUGUUUUCUGGGACGAUAAUGACGGUACCAGAGGAGGAAGCCACGGCUAACUACGUGCCAGCAGCCGCGGUAAUACGUAGGUGGCGAGCGUUGUCCGGAUUUACUGGGCGUAAAGGGUGCGUAGGCGGAUGUUUAAGUGGGAUGUGAAAUCCCCGGGCUUAACCUGGGGGCUGCAUUCCAAACUGGAUAUCUAGAGUGCAGGAGAGGAAAGCGGAAUUCCUAGUGUAGCGGUGAAAUGCGUAGAGAUUAGGAAGAACACCAGUGGCGAAGGCGGCUUUCUGGACUGUAACUGACGCUGAGGCACGAAAGCGUGGGUAGCAAACAGGAUUAGAUACCCUGGUAGUCCACGCCGUAAACGAUGGAUACUAGGUGUAGGGGGUAUCAACUCCCCCUGUGCCGCAGUUAACACAAUAAGUAUCCCGCCUGGGGAGUACGGUCGCAAGAUUAAAACUCAAAGGAAUUGACGGGGGCCCGCACAAGCAGCGGAGCAUGUGGUUUAAUUCGAAGCAACGCGAAGAACCUUACCUGGACUUGACAUCCCUUGCAUAGCCUAGAGAUAGGUGAAGCCCUUCGGGGCAAGGAGACAGGUGGUGCAUGGUUGUCGUCAGCUCGUGUCGUGAGAUGUUAGGUUAAGUCCUGCAACGAGCGCAACCCUUGUUAUUAGUUGCUACCAUUA
rnacentral:rRNA from 1 species